AACGUAGGGGGGCAAGCGUUGCCCCGGAUUCACUGGGCGUAAAGCGGGUGUAGGCGGUUCCUUAAGUCGGAUGUGAAAUCCCACGGCCCAACCGUGGAAUUGCAUCCGAUACUGGGGAACUUGAGGACGGUAGAGGUCGGUGGAAUUCCCUGUGUACCGGGUGAAAUGGGCAGAUAUAGGGAGGAACACCAGUGGCGAAGGCGGCCGACUGGGCCGAUCCUGACGCUGAGACC
rnacentral:rRNA from 1 species